AGGUAACCUGCCUUGUAGCGGGGGAUAACUAUUGGAAACGAUAGCUAAUACCGCAUAACAAUGGAUGACAUCAUGUCAUUUAUUUGAAAGGGGCAAUUGCUCCACUACAAGAUGGACCUGCGUUGUAUUAGCUAGUAGGUGAGGUAACGGCUCACCUAGGCGACGAUACAUAGCCGACCUGAGAGGGUGAUCGGCCACACUGGGACUGAGACACGGCCCAGACUCCUACGGGAGGCAGCAGUAGGGAAUCUUCGGCAAUGGGGGCAACCCUGACCGAGCAACGCCGCGUGAGUGAAGAAGGUUUUCGGAUCGUAAAGCUCUGUUGUAAGUCAAGAACGAGUGUGAGAGUGGAAAGUUCACACUGUGACGGUAGCUUACCAGAAAGGGACGGCUAACUACGUGCCAGCAGCCGCGGUAAUACGUAGGUCCCGAGCGUUGUCCGGAUUUAUUGGGCGUAAAGCGAGCGCAGGCGGUUUGAUAAGUCUGAAGUUAAAGGCUGUGGCUCAACCAUAGUUCGCUUUGGAAACUGUCAAACUUGAGUGCAGAAGGGGAGAGUGGAAUUCCAUGUGUAGCGGUGAAAUGCGUAGAUAUAUGGAGGAACACCGGUGGCGAAAGCGGCUCUCUGGUCUGUAACUGACGCUGAGGCUCGAAAGCGUGGGGAGCGAACAGGAUUAGAUACCCUGGUAGUCC
rnacentral:rRNA from 1 species